GACGAACGCUGGCGGCGUGCUUAACACAUGCAAGUCGAACGAUGAAGCUAGAGCUUGCUCUGGUGGAUUAGUGGCGAACGGGUGAGUAACACGUGAGUAACCUGCCCCGAACUCUGGGAUAACUGCUGGAAACGGUAGCUAAUACCGGAUAUGACCAAUGAAGGCAUCUUCUGUUGGUGGAAAGAAUUUCGGUUCGGGAUGGACUCGCGGCCUAUCAGCUUGUUGGUGAGGUAACGGCUGACCAAGGCGACGACGGGUAGCCGGCCUGAGAGGGUGAUCGGCCACACUGGGACUGAGACACGGCCCAGACUCCGACGGGAGGCAGCAGUGGGGAAUAUUGCACAAUGGGCGCAAGCCUGAUGCAGCAACGCCGCGUGAGGGACGACGGCCUUCGGGUUGUAAACCUCUUUUAGUAGGGAAGAAGCGAAAGUGACGGUACCUGCAGAAAAAGCACCGGCUAACUACGUGCCAGCCGCCGCCGUAA
rnacentral:rRNA from 1 species